GAUGAACGCUAGCUACAGGCUUAACACAUGCAAGUCGCGGGGCAGCAUGGGGGUUGCUUGCAAUCCCCGAUGGCGACCGGCGCACGGGUGAGUAACGCGUAUCCAACCUGCCCUUCACCACGGGAUAACCCGGCGAAAGUCGGACUAAUACCGUAUGUUGUCCAUUGACGGCAUCCGAUUUGGACGAAAGGCUUGGCGGUGAGGGAUGGGGAUGCGUCCGAUUAGCCAGACGGCGGGGUAACGGCCCACCGUGGCUACGAUCGGUAGGGGCUCUGAGAGGAAGGUCCCCCACACUGGAACUGAGACACGGUCCAGACUCCUACGGGAGGCAGCAGUGAGGAAUAUUGGUCAAUGGGCGUAAGCCUGAACCAGCCAAGUAGCGUGCAGGAUGACGGCCCUAUGGGUUGUAAACUGCUUUUAUGCGGGGAUAAAGUGGCCCACGGGUGGGCUUUUGCAGGUACCGCAUGAAUAAGGACCGGCUAAUUCCGUG
rnacentral:rRNA from 1 species